rnacentral:rRNA from 1 species
AGAUUGAACGCUGGCGGCAGGCCUAACACAUGCAAGUCGAGCGGUAGAGAGGUGCUUGCAUCUCUUGAGAGCGGCGGACGGGUGAGUAAUGCCUAGGAAUCUGCCUAGUGGUGGGGGAUAACGUUCGGAAACGGACGCUAAUACCGCAUACGUCCUACGGGAGAAAGCGGGGGACCUUCGGGCCUCGCGCCAUUAGAUGAGCCUAGGUCGGAUUAGCUAGUUGGUGAGGUAAUGGCUCACCAAGGCGACGAUCCGUAACUGGUCUGAGAGGAUGAUCAGUCACACUGGAACUGAGACACGGUCCAGACUCCUACGGGAGGCAGCAGUGGGGAAUAUUGGACAAUGGGCGAAAGCCUGAUCCAGCCAUGCCGCGUGUGUGAAGAAGGUCUUCGAUUGUAAAGCACUUUAAAGUUGGGAGGUAAGGGUUAGUAAACCGUUUAAUAACCGUUGGCUAAACUUUGACGUUUAACCGACAGAAUAAAGACACCGGACUAAACUUCGUGCCAGCAGCCGA